GGUGUAGGCGGUGAAGUAAGUCGGAUGUGAAAUCCCAGGGCCCAACCCUGGAACUGCAUUCGAAACUGUUUAACUAGAGUCCCGGAGGGGAAGGCGGAAUUCCCGGUGUAGAGGUGAAAUUCGUAGAUAUCGGGAGGAACACCAGUGGCGAAGGCGGCCUUCUGGACGGUGACUGACGCUCAGACCCGAAAGCGUGGGGAGCAAACAGGAUUAGAUACCCUGGUAGUCC
rnacentral:rRNA from 1 species